rnacentral:tRNA from 1 species
UGGUCUAGCGGUCAGAACGCUGGGCUUGUAAACCUGGGGUCCCGGGUUCGAUUCCCGG